UUUCCGUAGGUGAACCCGCGGAAGGAUCAUUAUUGAAUGAACUUGGCGUGGUUGUCGCUGGCCCUCUCGGGGGUAUGUGCACGCCCGUCAUCUUUAUCUUUCCACCUGUGCACACUUUGUAGACCUGAAUAGUAUUUUCUGAGGCAACUCAGUCGGGAGGAUUGCUGGUAUUUAUCAGCUCUCCUUGCAUUAUUCAAGCCUAUGUUUUUCAUAUACCCCAAAAAUGUAACAGAAUGUAUCAUUGGGCCUUGUGCCUAUAAACUAUAUACAACUUUCAGCAACGGAUCUCUUGGCUCUC
rnacentral:misc_RNA from 1 species